CCUACGGGGGCUGCAGUGGGGAAUAUUGGACAAUGGGCGAAAGCCUGAUCCAGCCAUGCCGCGUGUGUGAAGAAGGCCUUCGGGUUGUAAAGCACUUUCAGUGGGGAAGAAAGCCUUGGGGCUAAUACCCUCGAGGAAGGACAUCACCCACAGAAGAAGCACCGGCUAACUCCGUGCCAGCAGCCGCGGUAAUACGGAGGGUGCGAGCGUUAAUCGGAAUUACUGGGCGUAAAGCGCGCGUAGGCGGUCUGAUAAGCCGGUUGUGAAAGCCCCGGGCUCAAACUGGGAACGGCAUCCGGAACUGUCAGGCUAGAGUGCAGGAGAGGAAGGUAGAAUUCCCGGUGUAGCGGUGAAAUGCGUAGAGAUCGGGAGGAAUACCAGUGGCGAAGGCGGCCUUCUGGACUGACACUGACGCUGAGGUGCGAAAGCGUGGGUAGCAAACAGGAUUAGAUACCCGAGUAGUC
rnacentral:rRNA from 1 species